rnacentral:lncRNA from 1 species
GCUCCUGCUCAGCUCCUGGAACUCCUGCUGCUCUGCCUCCCAGGUAAGGAGGGACAGUACUGGGGAUUUACUAAUCACAGUGUGGUCAGUGCUGUAUGGCUACUCAGGAAAGUCCUCUUGGAACAUCACUACUUACAAGGAUUAUUUUUUAUGUUUCCAAUGGCAGGUGUCAGAUGUGACAUCACAAUGACCCAGUCUCCAUCCUCUUUGCCUGUUUCUCGUGGGGAGAGAGUCACCAUCACCUGUAGUGCCAAUGAGGACAUUAGCAAUUAUUUAUACUAGUAUCAGCAUAAGCCAGGCCAAGAUCCUAAGACCUUCAUUGAUCUUGUAACCGGUUUACAAUCCGAGGUCCCCUUGAGAUUCAAUGGCAGUGGACUUGUAACAGAUUUCACUUUCACCAUCAGCAAAUUGGAGCCUGAAGAUGUUGUCACUUAUUACUGUCAACAAUAUAACCGUUACCCUCCCACGGUGAUACAGGCCAUGACAAAAACCUCCCAGGGAGAAGAAGUGUGAGGCUGGGCUGCCCCAGCUCCUCCUCCUGCUGCCUCCCCUUCCUGAGGGCACAGCUCAGAGGCAGCCAGGCCUGAGAACUACAAGGAGGGUCAGUCAGAGGAUCCUGGGGGGCUCCUCUGCACCCUGACCCUUCAGCUCAGCCCCAGCAGGCAAUGAGCUCACUAUAUGAUAAAGAAAAUAAUUUAAGACCUGAACAGACUGAAUUAGGCAGUAUCAGGGUUGUGCCCAAAUAUAGGCCUCUCCAUGUAUUCCACACAAGAAUGUUUUACACUUUAUUUUUUAGUAUAGUUUAUGUCCCCAGCAAAAUAGGAGUGAAGUGAAGAGUUCUCCUGUGUCCCCCCUGCUCCCAAAGCCCCUCCAUCACCACCCCAUACUCUCUUGCUUCUGUUAUAAUUUAUCAACCUCUGACCAUGUCUACAGGUUACACCAGGGUCACUUUGUGCAUUCUGUGGAACUAGACAAGUGGACAGUGACAUGUGUCCAACAGUGUGGCCUGGCACAGUGCAGGUCCGGCCCUCACACUGUCUGAGCUCCAGCUGCUCCUCACCCAGCUCUCUGCUGCAGAUCUUUAUGAUUUUCCAUGCUGUAAUUUCUCCUGGGCUGAGUGACAGGGCCUGGAAUUUACAGCAUGGACGAUGUUCAAACUGGCUCUCACCUGAGUGCUAUGCAUGUAAGUUUCCUUCCUUCAUGGAUUUUCAUUACAUGAUAGCUGUUUUCUUUUUUUCUCUCUUUUUAAUUUUGUACUUAAUACAGGCAUGUGCAACCACUUACCCAUAUUCACAGACCUCUUUCUUUUAAAUUGGUUUGUUUGUUUGGUUUGAUUCAGUGGGUUUUUUUGUUUGUUUUUUGUUUUUUUGUUUUUGUUUUGUUUUGUUCUCUCUAAGUUUUUAGGUCCUGGCUAAGUUGCUGAACAUGGCCUUCAACUUGUGCUCCUUCUACCUCAGCCUCCCAGUUGCUGGGGUUAGAGGCAAGAAUCAUUACAGACUUCUCAAUAGCUGUGUUCUAUUCAGUGCUGAGUUCGACUCUACUUCUGGCUUCUGGACAGUAUUGAUCCAUCCCCCUAAUGAAGGGCAGGCUUGUGUCCUCCAAGUUUUCAAUGCUGAACACAGUUCCUAUAAGUUUUCCUGUUCAGGUUUUUUGGUUUUUUUUUUUUUUUUUAGAUUUGUGUUAACACAUAGCACAUGUUUAACAUGUAUUAGACAUAAGGAGCAUGAUUGCUGCCUGUUUGGUAGCAGAAUGCCUAGUGUUAUCAGAAUCUGUCACACUGUCCUGCACAUCAUGUUUUCAUCUUGGAGACAGCUUGUCAACACUCCGCAGAACACUCAGUUGCUGGGAGUGGCUUGUGACUGCAGCCAGGACCAGCUCAGCAACAGGGAUGGGGCCUGUACUGCGUUCCUGCUGCCCAUGGCGGGUUUGUCCCCUCCUGGAUUUGGCCAUUCCCUCCAAGAGGUGCUUGUCAUGUGUUUUUAUUUGCAUUUCCCUGGUGAUUUGGGAUGUCAUAGUGAUGUUUGGACAUAUGUCCAUAAUGUGCAGUGGUCAUCUGAGCUGUCAAAUGCUUGUCAUUUGUCCCUUCCUUUUUGGUCCUUCUCCAUCCCUGUGUUCCAAGAUUCAUGUUCCUAUCACAUAUUAUUUCUUUAUAGAGCACUUUGCACCCACUUUGGGGUUAGCAAUGUAUUAUUCUCUUUGUUUUUCUACACCUGAGGGGCUCUUAAUUUUACAUUGGUAUCUGAAGUACAUUUCCCUAGAUCUAGAGUUCUAGCUCAUCAGAAUUGUCCUUCAGCACUUGAAAGUGUGUCCUUUCCCUUAUCCUCCCUGUUUUCUGGGUAGAAAUUCUCUGGUGAUUCUAGUUGCUUCUCCCAUAAAGCUAAGGAUUCUGUCUCUGUCUUCAGAAGCUGGCAGUGAGGCUGUGAGGGGAGCUGAGAGGCACCUCCUGGUUCAUUCUGAGUCCCUGUGCAUUUGCCUUCUCAGGGUUCUCUAGCUUGGUGUGACCUUUGCUGUCCCUCCUGUUGCCUCCUUCCUCUGUCUGCUCCAUUCACCUGUUGAGCUCACCUCUGCUUUCAUUGUGGAGGAUGCAUUUUUCAUUUCUGAAACUUCCAUUUUUUGCCUUUGCACAGUUUCAAUACUCUUGUUGAUGCUUUCUGAUUGUUUUUCAUUUCUUUACAACAUAUUUGCAGGUGCUCGUUGAUGCACUUUUAUGGUGACUGCUUUAAAAUCCAGUUCAGAUAAUCCUUAGAUACAUUUCAACUCAGUUAAUGUGAACUGACUGAACUUUCUCUCAUUCACGUGAGUUUACCCAGGUUUUCAUAUAAUGAAGGAUGUUUUCUUUUUUACUUGGACAUUACUGGUAUUGGGUCCCCUCAUAGGCCUAUAAUUCUUAACUUCUAACAAGCUCCUAUUUAGUGCCAGUGCUUUGAAUUCUGGUCUACAGAGAGCCACUACCUUACCCAAAAGAAAGGUUUCUUAUCCUGCUAGGCCCAGGAAGCACAUUCUCCUUGGAAGCCCUUCAUCCACACAGAGGCCUGAAUUCAAGGCAAAUCCACUUAAUCACUCAUGGUGAGUUUCCUGUCAGUGGGACAAAAUUCCAACAGUCAUCUAACUUAAAGGAGAAAACGUUUAUUUAAGUACAUUGGUUCAGAAAGUCAGUCCAUGGUCAGCUGACCCCAUUGUUCUGGGCCCAGGUGGGCAGAACUUCAGGGCAGAAGGGUAUGUAUAAGGAUUGAUGCUUCACCCAUGGUGGCCAGGAAGUGCAAGGAGAGCAGGAAGGGGCCUGAGGGAGGAUGCACAUUCUAGGGCUCACCCCUAGUGACCACCUGCUCCAGCCACACUCCCUGCCCUCAGUCACCACCCAGUUAGUCCACUCAGGCCAGGACAGCCAGAAUAACCUCAGCUUUCCUCUUCUUGUCAUUUCACCUCUGAAUACUCCUGUAUUAACACAGUAGGUGAAGGGGGUCACCUGAAGUUGAAACCAAAGCACAAUCCACAGAAGUGCACAUGCAAGGACAUCAAUAUAGCUGUUUUGAUUCUAGCAGAAUUUUUUUUUUUUUUAUUAAAACAGUGAUUCAUGGUCUGGAACCAAAUACCACACAUGGCACAUGAUCUGAGGGAAGUAUGUCAUGGAGCAGAAAAUUAAGAACUCCUCACUGUGCCCUUUCCCUUUCCUCUUUCCAUCACUAGCCUGCCACAGCAAAGCUGCUGCCUCUGCUGAGCCCUAUGUUUGCAGGGGCAGGAAUUAAAGUAUCUUCCCUAUUUUUGUUUCUUCUGAUUGUUCCCAAUUUUACUCUAUCUUCUUUUGAGGACAAUUCUCAUUUGUAUUUGACAAGUGUUUAUCUUCUCAGGAUCACUGGGACUCUGAUUUCUGUCUUCUCCCUCCAUGACCUGAACCAACCUGCUUUCCAGGAAUUCAUACACAGAUUUUUGACAAGGACACAUAUCUUUCCACACAGAGUUUGUGACCAUACACUCUUCUUAAAUAUGGGCUAUAAUUCUUAAUUUCUAGAAAGCUCCUAUUUAGUGCCAGUGCUUUGACUUCUGGUCUACAAGGGCCACAGCUCACCCAAAAGAAAGGUUUCUUAUCCUGAUAGGCCCAGGAGGCAUAUUCUCCUUGGAAGAACAUUCUCCUUGAUAAAAUAAAUCAGAGCCACCCAUCAUUCUGGCUUUACUGUGGGGAAAGUCACCUUACCUGUGCCACCUUAUGAUGCUAAUGCAUUCAAGUCAAAACCUCUCCACACCCCCCACACCCAUUGGCAUUAACUGAUGAGGACAACCCUUGUGGUUCUCAGAGUGAGCUCAUGAUGAGGUGUAGGGUAAGAGAGAAACUUGGUACUAGACACCUGGUCUCUAUACAUGAAUUAUAACUUUGCUCUGAAUCUUCUGAUUCCCAGAGGUGUCAUCUGCAUCUUAGAAAAAAGUGUUUUCUAUCUACUCUUUCACUUUUUCAAAAUGAUAUUUGGCAUAAAACCCCAACAUUGAAAAUACAAAUUUGGAUCUCAGUUGAUGAUAUUUGUUAAUAAUUUUCACAAAUUAGUUUAUAAAAUUAUAUCACUUUUUAGUCAUUUAUUUUUCAGCAUUGCACAAUUUUUUCCCCAAAAUUGCAAAAAAAAAAAAAUUAAAUUGAUAUUUCUACACUGUGGCUUCUCAUAGACACACUCACCAGUUAUCUGCACAAAAAAAUUUCAUAGAGUAGAACAUCACACUUAUAGUCUGGAAUUGUGCCAGGUGUAUUGAAUUCAAAUGUGAAAAUAAGCUGAGUGAGGGGGAGCUUCUAUAGGACACCAGGUGUGCAUGUGUGUGAUCUCUGUGAACUGGAUUGGAAGCACAAUAUUUUCAAGUUCUAUUCCAUGUACUCUAGGUCCAUGUAGAGUGCUUCCCCACUUCCUUCAGGUCAAAACUCAAGGAAAGAGAGCUGUAAUUAGUCACCUGGUCCUGAGGCUGAUCCUCAGUCCCAACUGCCUUCCCAAGAUUGACCCUUGCAUGAAGCACCACCCUCCUGGGCUCUCUCCCUCCUCUAUUGGAUUACAUUAAAACUUUAUCAAUAUUUUACAAACAAGCUAUCUUUGUAUCACUUCAAAAAAUCCUUGUUGCUCUUGUAACUUUCUUUUCCAUUUCCCAAUAGAUAUUUUUUCAAAUGUGAAGGUAAUUGUACCUCAAGUUUAGUGGAAUUUAUCAUUCUUUUUUCAAUAUAAGCCCAGACAUUCUCUGAUGUUUUAGGGUUUUCAAGUUUAUGGCAGAAUUUGCUGGAACAAGUUAAAGCCCUGACAUGAGGUCAAGUGCACUUGAGCCAGUGUGUGAUCUAGGCUUUGAUGUCCUUGUGGUCCUGGGUACCUGACCAUGAAGGAAACAGUGGCUGCAUGAGUGAAAUUGGGAAGAAUCAUUUCAACCCUGAUGAGCUAUGUGUGGGUCUGCUGUGGUGAGAGGUGUGUAGAGUGUGUGACUCUUCCCCUCUGUGUUUCCAGGAAAGCACAGGGGCAUCUGGAGAUGCAUCUGAGGUGGGAGGUGGGAUACCCAUGACCAAUAAAGCUCAGCAAAAGCAAAGACCACAAAGUGCCCCUGGGAACAGCAAGGGCCCUGAGAUCUCAGAAGAAUAUUGUUCAUUGAAAAGCAUAUAUAUAUAUAUAUAUAUAUAUAUAUAUAUAUAUAUAUAUAUUACUUCUGCAGUGUAUAAAAUAAACCAGGCCUACAGUAAUUGAUAACCUUUUCAAAAUAAUUCAAAUAACAGUCACUAGUUAAUUGGCCACAGUCCACAGCUAGAAGAGCCAACAUUAAAAAUGCUGAAAAGGCAUAAAUGUGCAUGAUAUUCCUUACUUAUUGUUCUUUUCUUCUCCCUUCACAAGUGACUUUCUGAUCUUUUCUUGGGGUGCAAAAAAUCUGUUUUAUUCUUUAACUUGACCUCUGUAGAGUGUUUCUAUGUAGGUGACCUUGAACACCUUCACUUCCUCCUCCUAUUUCUAUGUCCUCAUAUUAGUGGCUGGGAUGAGUCACAGCUGUCAUGUGCUGAACCUCCCAGGCCACAGCAGACUCCAGACCUCAGCCAGGGAUGAAUCUCCUGACACAUCCUCCCCUGCAGAUGCCCAGGGUCACCAUCCUCCUAGCCCACCUCCAAGUGGGUCUGUUUUCCAUAAAAAAAAAAAUCCAAUAAACCUGUUUUUGAUUAAGAAAGAAAAAUAUAAGCCACUCUCACCUGGGCAGAGAACACACUAGUCACAGGUGACCCUGGAGCCCCAGGACUCCAAAGGGAAGAUGAGGAUCUGAGCAGGGGUCCUCAGGGGCCAGGGGUAGGACUCUCCCUUGCUCACUACCUGCAGAGGCUGAGGAGAGAGGGCCAGUGUCUGGUGGCACCUGGAGCUGAAGCACCUUGGGACCUUCCCUGCUACUCCUUUGGUCCAUGGGUGACCCCACCCAACUGCUGAGAGCUGGCCCUGGGCAUGAGAGCCCCUGUUAGCUGCAAAUGUCUCACAGAGGCUCUGGAAGGGAUUGGGUCAGAAGCAGUAGGUGGGUUGGCAAUUGUAGACCAGAAACCACCACAGCCCCCACCCCUAUACCUGCACCAUGCAGGGUCCCUUAGGCCCCUUCUUUCUUUGACAAAACCACAUCUUUGGCAUCUCAUGGGUGUCACACAGCCAAGACAUCCACUGCCCAAGACCAGUCUGGCUUAUGAAUUCCUGCUAAACUGAUAAGCCUUUGUUUUUCAGCAGAAGGACAAUUUCUUGGGGAGAUUGGUCACUUGAGUUUCCUAGAGAAUCUCACCUGGUAAUAAAGGGAGAGAAACCACUUCAUGAAUUGGGGAUAAAAUAUCCAUGGUCAAGACAUUGGACCCCAGGUAUAGAUCCUGCCUAUUGAUGCUCCCCACACCCAUCACUAGAGAGCUAACACACUCUUGACCACAACCUGCACAGGUGAGACAAACUGGGCUUCAAUGGACUGGCUGCAAGUUUAAUCUAAGAAGAAGGUGGCAAAAAACCACAUCACAGAAAAAAUUUUGACAUCAACAUCAGGACAGCUCUUUGACCAUAAGGGCCAAACCUCCAUGAUGGAAAAAAAAGGAGAUAGAGAGCUCACAUUUUCUUUAUUUUAUAGGGAGGGACAUCAGAGGAAGGGAAAAGUUUUCAAAGGUGGGGUCUUGCUUCAUGAGUCUUGUGGUCAGCAGACUGAUUGACAUCUUGGCAGGUCACACCCACCUCAGGUGCUAUGUGGGAUCUUAGGCAAAGCUAGAGGGUGAGGUGCACCUGCAUCAUGUGAUUAAUCCCUGACAGGGACUUUGCAGUGCCAGACCUGUCCCCUCAGAAGUCUACUAUGCACAAUCCACACGCAGCCCAUGGGCAGCUCAUGACAACACACCAGAAAAUAAACAAUCCAAGAAAACUGAUCUAGAAGCCCUGGGACAGGAGAGAUCCCAUCCCAUGGGGGCCACAAAGGCUUGGGUGCUCUGCCCUGCACUCAGUUCCACAGGGAUCCAGGGCUCUCUACAUGGGCUGUAUCUCCCCAGAUGCAAGCUCAGGUAGGGUUUCUGAUCUACUUUGUGACUAUAAUAUCCACAACCAAACACAGGGAACUUUCCCCCAGGGAUUCACGGAGUGCAGUCAGAAUACAGGUCAGCAGAGGAUCAGGCUGGUGAGAGGACAAGUCCCUGCUCUGAGGGUGCCCCAGAUGAGCAAGGAGGAUGGACUGUCCUUAUGAAUUCAAAGAGGGAAGAAAACACACUGAGAGCCCAUUCAGUGAUUGUGACCAGACUUGGAGGUGUCCAGAGAGGAGGAGACAGAAGUGGAAGAGAGAGGUGUUACAAUUCCAGUGCUGUCCCCAGGAUGUCCCCAGAGCCCUCAUCAAGGAGCAGGUCACUGUUCAGUACACACGGGCCCAGGGUGGGCUGAGCUUCAUCUUCACUAAAGCUAUGAAAGGAACUAAAACUUGCUUCUAAAAUUACUCUAACCUUUCCAGAAAGACACUUAGGAAAGGGCCUGUGUAGGCUUUGCCUGCUCUUCUCAGGACGGGAGGAAACACCACAUGUCUAAGUGUGUCUUGGGGACACUGAGGAAGGAAGGGCAGAAUCAUACUGGGUUCUAUCCCACCCUGGCCUCCUGGUCCAGCAAGGCCAAUGUGUAGAGAAACCUAAACCACAUCACAGAGUUUACAUAUUCUACUUUCUUCCUGCCUUCAGGGCUCUUUUCACAUCCUAAGCACAAAAUGUCUCUUUCCCCCUUAUUUCUCCUGUUCCUAAGGUCAGUAAUAAAAGAAAAAAAAAUGUCCUUAGGAGACACAAGAAAAGCCUUUCCUGGAUCAUGAAGAAAGCAAUAAGUCACUCCUCACAGGAGAGUAUUCUGGUUGUGUCCUGUGUGUUCCAGGUGAAUCAUAUUCUGCUCUGGCACAUCUGUGCUGCUCUCAACUGAACUGGGACAAUGGGCACAUCUGGCCUGUGCUGAGUGUCAGAUGAGCAGCCCUGCAGCUGUGCCCAGCCUGCCCAGCCCUGCUGAUUUACAUGUUCCCACAGCACAGCCCAUUGUCCUGCGGACUUCUUAAGAGGCUGCUCACACCCUGUGCAGGAGUCAUCCCGGUCAGGAAACAGCAUGGCCAUAAGGGUCCCUGCUCAGGUCCUGGGGCUCCUGCUGCUCUGCCUUUCAGGUAAGGAGGGACAGUACUGGGGAUUUGCUUAUCCCCCUCUGGUCAGUGAUGCCUGUCACUUGGAGGAUGGAGUCUUGUAUCAUAAUUAGUGAGGUUUUAAUUUUAUUAUUUAUUUAUUUAUUUAAUGUUUUCAAUGUCAGGUUCCAGAUGUGACAUCCAGAUGACCCAGUCUCCUUCACCCCUGUCUGCAUCUCAAGGAGACAGAGUCACCAUCACCUGCAGGGCCAGUGAGGACAUUAGCGAUUUUUUACACUGGCAUAAGCAGAAAUGAGAACAAGCUCCUAAGCUCCUCAUCACAUAUGCAAACACUUUGCAAUCUAGGGUCCCCUCGAGGUUCAGUGGCAGUGGAUCUGUGACAGAUUUUACUCUCACCAUCAGCAGUCUGGAGCCUGAAGAUGUUGCCACUUAUUUCUGUCAACAAGGUAGCAGUUCCCCUCCCACAGUGACACAGGCCAUGACAAAAACCUCCCAGGGAGCAGAAGUGUGAGGCUAGGCUGCCCCAGGUUCUUCUCCUUCGGCAUCCACCUGCUGAGGGCACUGCUCAGAGUCACCAGGCUCUGAGGUCACAGUGAGGGUUUCCUAGAGGGGAAGUGGGAGGAUUCUUUUUCCAGUGGUCCCUUGCUUUUCCUCAGCCCCAGCAACUCAGAGAAGACAAUUCAUUUCCUGGUGUAAUCCAGAGUAAAG